rnacentral:rRNA from 1 species
UACAGAGGUCCCAAGCGUUGUUCGGAUUCAUUGGGCGUAAAGGGGUGCGUAGGCGGCGCGGGUAAGUCGGGUGUGAAAGUCUCGGGGCUUAACUCCGAAACUGCAUUCGAUACUGCCGUGCUUGAGGACUGGAGAGGAGACUGGAAUUUACGGUGUAGCGGUGAAAUUCGUAGAUAUUCGCAAGAACACCAGUGGCGAAGGCGGCUCACUGGCCCGAGUACGUGACGCUG